CAGGAUGAACGCUAGCGGCAGGCCUAACACAUGCAAGCCGAGGGGUAAGUCUCUUUCGGGAGAACACGACCGGCGCACGGGUGAGUAACGCGUAUGCAACCUACCUUUGGCACGGGGACAGCCCGGGGAAACCCGGAUUAAUACCCGGUAUAGUCUGUUAUACACCUGUAUAAAAGACGAGAGCUACGGCGGCCAAAGAUGGGCAUGCGUGCCAUUAGUUAGUUGGUAGGGUAACGGCCUACCAAGGCAUCGAUGGCUACGGGGUCUAAAAGGAUGAGCCCGCACACUGGUACUGAGACACGGACCAGACUCCUACGGGAGGCAGCAGUGAGGAAUAUUGGUCAAUGGGUGGAAGCCUGAACCAGCCAUGCCGCGUGCAGGAAGACGGCCUUAUGGGUUGUAAACUGCUUUUCUACGGGACGAACGGCUCUGACGUGUCAGAGAUUGACGGUACCGUAGGAAUAAGCAUCGGCUAACUCCGUGCCAGCAGCCGCGGUAAUACGGAGGAUGCGAGCGUUAUCCGGAUUUAUUAGGUUUAAAGGGUGCGUAGGCUGGGCAAUAAGUCAGUGGUGAAAGUCCGCGGCUCAACCGUGGGAUUGCCAUUGAAACUGUUGUUCUUGAGUACAGUCGAGGUAGGCGGAAUGUGUAAUGUAGCGGUGAAAUGCAUAGAUAUUACCCAGAACACCGAUUGCGUAGGCAGCUUACCAGCCUGGAACUGACGCUGAUGCACGAAAGCGUGGGGAGCGAACAGGAUUAGAUACCCUGGUAGUCCACGCCGUAAACGAUGAUCACUCGCUGUUGGCAAUAUAGAGUCAGCGGCUGAGCGAAAGCAUUAAGUGAUCCACCUGGGGAGUACGU
rnacentral:rRNA from 1 species